CAAGUAGAGAUUAACCAGACUAA
rnacentral:snRNA from 1 species